CUGGCCGAUCGGUCGUCGUCGUCGGUACGGUGGAUUUUUGUAAAUUUUAGAAUUAAAGUAGAAAGGCAAUUGUUUAUGACAAACGCGUAGUUGUGCGCAUUGGUUUAAGCGAAAAGCUAGAUCCCUAAGGACCCACACACACGAACAGAUAAAGAUGUUCAAUUUUAUGAAGAAAAGCGCCGGCGAUGAAGAGAAGGAGCGUCGCAAGCGCGAAAAGAAACUGCGCAAAGAGGCUAAAGGUGGCAGCGGUGGUGGGGUAACUGGCAGCAUGAGCACCGAUGAACUGCUGCGUCUGGAGGAGGUGCGUCGAUCGCUGAAGAUACGGGGCCGCCGCAAGGAGAAGGAAAAACUGCCCAGCGGCAUAACAGCGGACUACAGUGCAGAUUUCUUUGCGGCCCUCAAUGCCGAUGCAGCCAGCGGCAACGCGAAUGGGAAUGGAAAUGGCAAUGGAAAUGGAAAUGGCGGCCCAGAGCAGGAUCGUGGCAAUGAGGAAAUUGUAGCAUCUGUGAUGACACACAUCGAGAGUCGAAGCGCCGCCAACGAAUCUCUUAUCUUGAACUAUGGCGAGGUUACACAUUCCCUGCUCUCGGGCGGACUGAAGAAUCGAUUUUUGCCGCCGGUGCCGCCAAAGCCGCCCAAGCGUGGCAUUUUGAAGGGUUCGCGCAGCAACAUGAGCAACGUUCACGAAGAGAUUGUCUUCACCGGUGGCGGCACUCCCGAAAUGCUGAUGCGCAACACCAUGCAAAAUGAGCAGCUGUUUGAGGGCAACCGUGGCGGCGGCAGCGGUGGCUCCAAUUCCAGCCAACAUGGCACCUCGUUCACCUCCGUGGAGAGCCUGCGGAGCGACGGCGAUCAUCCGCCGCAGCAGCGCGCCAUGACCCUGCCGGCGAACGCGCGCUAUGGCGCACCACAGACGCCCACGCAGGCUGCCCAUUUGCAUGUGCUGACAUCACCGUCACCGAGUGCCGACAGUCUCACAGAUACCACAAACUCCUCCUUUGCCACGCCUCCAUUCUCGCUGAGUCCAGUGGGCGAAUCGCAGGGCAUCGAUCGCUGGGCCCGUGUGCACGCCUUUGAGGAUGUGCAGCUGCCAUUGCCACCGGUCCAGCUGGUGCAGCUGCCGCCGCCUAGGCAGCUGGUCAUCAAACGGCAGAAAUCACCGCGGCAUGACUUCGGGUUCAGUCUGCGCAAAGCCAUUUGCUUGGACCGCACCGAGUCGCUGAUGUCGCCCAUCUUUCGACCAGUGAUCUUUGCGGAGCCUGGUGCUGGGGGUGGCGCCACGGGCCUGUUACCUGGCGAUCGUUUGAUCAAGGUGAAUGGCACGCCCGUGGGCGAUUUAUCGCGCGAGAUCAUCAUCGAGAUGAUACGCAACAGUGGCGAUGCUGUCACCGUCGAGGUGCAACCCGUAGCUGAGCUAGUGGAGUUGAGCAAGCGCUGCAUGGCGCCCAGCACGGCCACCGUUGAAGAGAUCGAUCAUUCCAUUAACAACGGCAACUGCAACACUCUCCGUCGCAGCGCCAGCAAGCGCUUCAAGCGUCAGAGUCGGCACGAGAACGGUACGGACGGCUUUUUUGGCAAAAGCGAUAGCGAUGUGGACGUAGUCGACGACGCCUCGCAGCCGGAACGUGUGUGGCUGGUGCAUCGCGGUGGCUUUACGGCAGCGCUGCGUCUGCCACCCGGCGACACGGCGCAUGAGGAGCAUAAGCUGAACGUGCGAUUGCUGCAUAAUGGCGAGCAGUUGACCGUGGACGAGGAUGACAUCGAGAAGCAGAACAGCCCCGCACUGGACUUGGUUGAGGACAUCUGUGAGCUGAAGUAUCUGAACGAGGCGUCUGUGCUGCACUGCCUCCGACAGCGAUAUGCCAGCAAUCUGAUACACACCAAGGCGGGGCCCACGCUGCUCGUGGUCAAUCCAAUGGCACCCCUGUCGCUCUACUCUGAGAAGGUUGUAUCCAUGUUUCGCGGCUGCAAAACGGAGGACAUGCCGCCCCACGUCUACUCGCUAGCCCAGACCGCCUACAGGAGUUUGGUUGAAACGCGACGCGAUCAAAGUCUAAUAUUCAUGGGUCGUUCUGGUUCUGGCAAGACCACAAGCUUUAAGCAUGCGCUCAACUACUUGGCGUUGGCUGCUGGUGCAUACAAUAAUUUUAUUAAUGCGGAAAAAGUUGGUGCAUUGUGCACAAUUUUGGAAGCCUUUGGUAAUACGAGAACAUGUCUGAAUUCGAAUGCGACGCGUAUGACGCAGCUGCUCAGCUUGGACUUCGAUCAGACCGGUCAAAUAGCAUCAGCCUCUUUGCAGGUGCUGCUGCCGGAGCGACAACGUGCGGGUCGCAGGCUUGCGCACGAGCACAGCUUCCACAUUAUGACGCGACUGUUGGCUGGCGCCGCCGGUCUGCUACAGAAAGAGCUGCAUUUAGAGAACAUCUCGUCUGAGGACAGUCAUCCAUUUAUAUCGCUUUCGCAGCGAUUGGAAGAUCGUCAUCGGGCGGCCAAUGACUUUUUGCGUACGGUGCAAGCAUUUGAGACACUCAACAUUGAUACCAAGGCUGUGCGGGGUAUCUGGAGUAUACUGGCAGCUAUUUAUCAUCUAGGCAUUGCGGGUAUCACUCGAAUGGGCACCGGGUCGACGGCUCGAACGCAGUUUGCGAAUCCGACAGCAGCACGGAAGGCGGCCAGUCUGUUGGGCGUCAAUCUUGAGGAUUUAUCGGCAGCUGCAUUCGGUCUUACGCAGCCCAAUGCGACAGGCGCCAGCUUGAGUCCCUCUAAGUCGCCCACUUCGGAUGGCGGUCAGGACUGGGCCUGGGAAUGUCUUGAAGCACUCGUCAUUGGCCUUUACUCGGAGGCACUGGCCGCUGUGGUGGCUCUGAUAAAUCGCCAGAUCUGCACUUCAGCUCAUACUAUUGCUUCAAUAAUGCUCAUCGAUACACCAGGCUUCCAAAAUCCAGCCAGCUGCGGCCAACAAGUGGGCGCCACACUGGCAGAUCUGCGUCACAACUAUCUGCAGGAGCGACUCCAAAUGCUGUUCCAUCACACAACAUUGGUGGCGCCACGAGAUCGCUAUGCCCAGGAGCUGGUGGAGAUCGAAAUGGAUCAUGCUUCCGACUGUCAUCCGGGCCCGCUGAUAUCCCUGAUUGACAAGGCUCCACAGAAUCAUGUGGUGCGAUCUUCACAGCGCGAUCUGCGCGAGCAUGAUCGUCGUGGCUUGCUCUGGCUAUUGGACGAGGAGGCCAUAUAUCCAAACUCAAACGACGACACAUUCCUAGAGCGUUUAUUCUCACAUUACGGCGAUCGUGAGCAUCACACGCUGUUGCGCAAAUGUGCCGGACAGCGCCAGUUUGUGCUGCACCAUCUGCAGGGCACCAACCCGGUGCUCUAUGCUGUCGAUGGCUGGGUGCGAAACAGUCGCGAGCAUCCGGGCAUACGGAACGCAGUGUCGCUGCUGCAGGACAGCAGUCGCGAAGAGAUAAAUCGUCUCUAUAUUGGCUCACUGACGCGCGGCUCUGGUGCCAUGGUGUUUUGCGGCUCGUUCGCAGGCCUGGAGGGUACACAGUCAUUGCGUCGAGUGUCCAGCAUCCGGCGUUCCUUCACUACGGCGGGCGUCAAGCGUAACUCAAUUAUGCUGCAGGUGAAGUUCACCGUAGAUGGCAUAAUUGAUACGUUGCGCCGCACGGGCACCCACUUUGUGCACUGCUAUUUGCUGCAACACAAUGCGGGAAAGCAUACCAAGUUCUCGGCGAAUGGGUCGCCCAACACGGCGCUGGUUCAAGCUGCUACCGAGGAGGAUUUGGUAAAUGUGCCACUGUUAAGGAGUCAGCUACGUGGCUCACAAGUUUUAGAGGCCGCUCGGCUGCAUCGCCUCGGCUUUCCCGAAUCUGUGCCAUUAGUGGAGUUCGUGCGUCGCUUCGGUCUGCUUGCAGCUGAUUUGUCGAGCAAUAAAGAUGUUACCGUGGAACAAAUACUCGCUGUCAAUGAACUGGACGUUGCCAGCUAUCGCAUUGGACCAAGUCAAAUUCUCUUCCGAUCCGGCGUACUCAAUGAGCUGGAAGCUAAACGAGAUGUACUGCUAUCGGAUCGCAUUAUACAGCUGCAGGCAUUGUGUCGUGGUUAUUUGGCACGCAAGAAGAUGUCACAGCGCCGUGUACAGGAGCUGGCAGUGCGUUGUAUUCAGCGUAAUGUGAAGGCCUUUCUGGCCGUGCGGGAUUGGCCUUGGUGGCGUUUGCUGGUGCGUGUGACGCCUCUACUCAAUGUACACCGCACCGAGGAGCAGCUGAAGAUCGCCAACGAGGAGCUGAUCAUGCUGCGCGCCAAGCUGGAGAAGAUCGAGUACGAUCGCAGCGAAGUGAAGAACGAAAAUCAGAAAUUGGAAGCCAAGUUAUCCGAACUGACUGUUGAUCUGGCGGAGGAGCGCUCUACAGCUCAUAUUGCCACCGAACGCUUGGAAGCGGAGACUGCCGAACGCCUAAAGCUCGAAAAGGAGCUCGGGGAGAGCCAGGCGAAAGUAAAGAACCUGCAGGAGAUGAGUGAGAAACUGGAAAUGGAGUUGAUAUGCGCCAAGUCCGACUUGAAUGGCAUCUCCGAGGAUGAAGAUGCCGAGCACGAAGAGGGUGCCGGUGGAGUUUACAAACUGAAGUACGAACGCGUGGCCAGAGAACUGGAGUUCACGAAGCGCCGACUACAGACGCAACAUGAGCACGAUCUGGAACAGCUGGUCGGGCUUAAGAAGCAAUUGGAGAAGAAGCUUUCCGAUGCCUACGAAGAAGUUGAGGAACAACGUCAGGUUGUGGGCCAAUGGAAACGCAAGGCUCAAAAGAUGACCAACGAGAUGAAUGAUUUGCGCAUGCUGCUCGAGGAGCAAAAUGCACGAAACAAUUUGCUGGAGAAGAAGCAGCGCAAAUUCGAUGCCGAGUGCCAAGCCCUGCAGGAUGCAGCGCGCCAGGAGCGCCAGGCUAAGGAACGGUACGGACGCGAAAAAGAUGUGCUCCAAGCCGAGAAAUUCACGCUCGAACAAACACUUGCGGAUACGCGUCUAGAUUUGGAGCUGAAGGAAGAGAAAUUGGCGUCCUUGCAGCGUGAGCUAGAGGAGAUGACCUUUGGUGGCGGCACCGAGGAGGAGUUUGCCCAGCUCCGACGUUCUAAGAACGAAAUGGAACGUCGUGUUAAGGAGCAGGAGGAGGAGCUGGACGAAAUGGCUGGACAAAUACAGCUGCUGGAGCAGGCCAAGCUGCGGCUUGAGAUGACCCUAGAGACCAUGCGGAAGGAGGCGCGUCGUGAGUCUCAGCAGCGCGAUGAAGAGUUAGAGGAGGUGCGUGGCAACGGCUACAAGAAGAUCAAGGCGCUUGAGUGCCAGUUGGAGACGGAGCACGAGGAGCGCACAUUGCUACUGCGCGAAAAGCACGAGCUAGAGCGACGGCUGUCAUCCAUGGAAGAUCGCGAUCGUGUCGAUCGUGAUGCCGAAGAGGCACUGAAUCAAAAAUUGCGUCGCGACUUGCGCAAGUACAAGGCAUUGCUGAAGGAUGCUCAGACGCAAUUGGAGCGACAGAAGGCAGAUACUCCGGGCAAGACGCUCAUCCGACAGCUGCGCAAUCAGCUGGAGGACGCGGAAUCGGCUCGCACACUUGCCAUGAAGGCGCGACAGACAGCCGAAGCUGAGUUGGCCGAGGUGCAGGCCAUGUUCGAGGAGUCACAUAGAGCUCGCAACGAUGCCGAGGAGCGCGCCAAUGCGGCACACCGCGAUCGCGCUGAACUGCAGGCGCAGAUCGAGGAGAACGAGGAGGAGCUGAGCGAGCUUAUGAAGAAGUACAGCGCCACCGUCAAGCAGCUCAACGCGGAGCAAGUCAACGUAUCCGAAUCGGAGUUUAAACUGACUGAACUCGAAGCAGAGCGUAACAAUCUCAAAGAGCAGGUGGCUGAUUUGCAGCACCGAUUGGACAAUGUGGAGAACUUGGGUGAUCCGAGCAUAGCUGUAAUGUCCAAGCGUUUGGAAAUGCGCACCAAAGAGCUGGAGUCCCGCCUGGAACUAGAGCAGGCGACACGCGCGCGUCUUGAGGUGCAAGUGAGCCGUCAUAAGGAGGCGUUGGAGAAACUCCAGAACGAAGUAACUCAAUCAAAGCUGCGUGAAAUGCAAUCACAGGAAAUGCUCAAAAAAUCUCAAAAGAGUUUGCGCGACAUACGCGAGGAAUAUCACGCGCUGUCCAGUCGUGAGCAGGAGUCGUUGACGCGUCGCAAGGACUUGGAAAAGAAAAUGGAAGUCAUGGAAUCCGAGGGCUUGGCAUUGAAGAACGAUUUACGCCUGGCGCUGCAACGCAUCGCGGAUCUACAGCAGGCCAUGGAGGAGGAGGGCGAGGAGGAGUUAAGCGAGAGCGAGGAUAGUAUGAGCUCGGUGGGCUCGGUGAGCGACUUGGAAGAGCGACUGCGACCCGUGCAUGUAAAGCGGAGCUCACAGCAGUCAUUAAACGGACCCAUUAUCCCACCAAGCACCACACGCACGCUGAUCUGCGAAAAGGACGACAACAGCCCUAGGUACGCUGAUAACGAAGUCAACUCAAACAGCAGGCAGCACAAGCACUAAGCACCGUAGUCGCAUUAGCUCGAUAAUACUUAUGCAUAUGUAUAACUAUCACUAGUUAGUUAGCUAGCUAGCUAGCUACUUAGCUUGUAAGAAUAACAGUGACGUCGCCAUCGUCGCCACAUAUUCACAAACUGGCACUGGCGGCUAAAGCCAUACCGGACCAAAAACCGGACACGAAAUCUU
rnacentral:misc_RNA from 1 species